UUCCCCUAUGCCUGGGAAACAGGUGCAUCUCUGGAGCGUGGUGGGAGUCUAUUUCAGUGUGCUGGGAAGGGGGUGGCCCCGGCGCCCUCGGGCAUGAGGGUGGUGGCUGCCACGUGACCCUCUGACAUGCUGUCCGGAUCCGCGCCGGCCACAGAGACUCUCCCACUCGUCCAGCUGCUGUCCGAAGCCCCGCGGUGCCCGCGCUUCACGAGGAGGCCGCGCUCCAUGGGGGUACCCGGAGGGGAGACAGUGUCGGAGCCCCAGGCUGGUCACAGCCCCCUGGAGAAGCCGCCCAGCACGGCGAUCCUGUGUGACACCUGUGGGAACGUGUGCAAGGGGGAGGUGCUGAGGGUCCAGAACAAGUAUUUCCACAUCAAGUGCUUCAUCUGCAAAGCGUGUGGCUGUGACCUGGCCGAGGGCGGCUUCUUCGUGCGGCAGGGCGAGUACAUCUGCACGUUGGAUUACCAGCGGCUGUACGGGACUCGCUGCUUCAGCUGCGACCAGUUCAUUGAGGGUGAGGUGGUAUCGGCCCUGGGCAAGACCUACCACCCCAACUGCUUCGUGUGUGCCUCCUGCCGGGUGCCCUUUCCGCCUGGGGACCGAGUGACCUUCAACGGGAAGGAAUGCAUGUGCCAGAAGUGCUCCCUGCCCAAGUCUGUGGGUGGCAGCGCUUGCCUGACCCAGGGCCUCUGGAGUUGUGGGGGCUGCGGCACAGAAAUCAAACAUGGCCAGUCCCUGCUGGCUUUGGACAAACACUGGCAUUUGGGCUGUUUUAAGUGCAAGGCGUGCGGGAAGCAGCUGACGGCGGAGUACAUCAGCAGGAACGGGCUGCCCUACUGCGAGACCGACUACCACACCCAGUUUGGCGUCCGCUGUGACGGCUGUGAGAAGUACAUCACGGGGCAUGUGCUGGAGGCGGGCGAGAAGCACUACCACCCUCUGUGUGCGCUGUGUGUGCGAUGCGGCCGCAUGUUUGCGGAAGGCGAGGAAAUGUAUCUUCAAGGUUCCUCCAUCUGGCACCCGGCAUGUCGACAAGCAGCCAGAACUGAAGACAAAAACCAGGAGACCAGGACCUCCUCUGAAAGCAUCAUUUCUGUCCCUGCUUCAAGCACCUCAGGGUCUCCGAGCCGCGUGAUUUAUGCGAAGCUGGGCAAUGAGGUCCUUGACUACAGGGACUUGGCUGCCCUUCCUAAAAGCAAGGCCAUCUAUAACAUCGACCGCCCCGACAUGAUCUCCUACUCGCCCUACGUCAGCCACUCGGCGGCAGACAGGCAGAGCUGCAGCGAGUCCCCUCGGUUGUUCUCGCCAACGCUGACUGAGGGGGACCAGGAUGACCGCUCCUACAAGCAGUGCCGGACCUCCAGCCCCAGCUCCACUGGGUCGGUCAGCCUCGGGCGGUACACCCCGACCUCACGGUCGCCCCAGCACUACAGCCGUCCAGCUGGUACUGUGAGUGUCGGUGCCAGUAGCUGCCUGUCCCUGUCCCAACACCCAAGCCCUACAUCCGUGUUCAGACAUCAUUACAUCCCCUACUUCCGAGGCAGUGAAAGUGGCCGGAGCACCCCCAGCCUCUCGGUGCUCUCGGACAGCAAGCCGCCCCCCUCCACCUACCAGCAGGCUCCUCGCCACUUCCACGUCCCAGACACUGGCGUAAAAGAUAACAUCUAUAGGAAACCCCCCAUCUACAAACAGCACGGUCCUGUAGCCCAAUCCCCAAUUUCCAAGCUCUCGGGCCUGAUGUCAGCCUUGUCCCUGGUGGUGCACAAGGCAGGGUGCUCCGGAAGGCUAGAAGGUCCGAGCCCCCCACAGGCUGCAGCCGCCAGGCGAUCAGACGGGGAGGAUGGAAGUUUCGACCCAGAUAACAGGAAGCAGAAGACCAGCUGGCUGAUUCUGAAGGGGGACACAGACACUAGGACUAACUCUCCAGACCUGGACAGCCAGUCUUUGUCCCACAGUAGCGGCACCGAUAGAGACCCUCUCCAAUCAAUGCAAGGGGACAACUUUUACUCACGAUUCCCCUAUUCCAAAUCUGACCCUCUCCCAGGACAUGGAAAGAAUGACUUGGACCACCGGAAUGCCAAUCUGGCCCCUUGUGGAGCAGACCUGGAUGCCAGCUGGGGCACGCGAGAAUACAAGGUAAGACGGCCACCCACUCCCGCGCUGACCUCUGCGCCGUAUGUACCUGCUCAGGUUGAAAGUUCCUUCUGUUGUGCUUCCCUAUGAAUGUGUGUGUCAGCUGCUAGCGCAAAUCUAUCCUUAUGAUGCCCUCAUUGUCACAAACCGAAUUCGUGUGAAACUGCCCAAAGAUGUGGACCGGACGAGGCUGGAGAGACACCUGUCGCCUGUGGAGUUCCAGGAAGUGUUUGGGAUGAGCGUGGAAGAGUUUGACCGCCUUGCGCUCUGGAAGAGGAAUGACCUCAAGAAGAAAGCUCUGUUGUUUUGAUGGCUGCCGUGUGCCUGACCCCACGUGCAACCACAGCAAACUGCGGACACCUGGUGGGAACCAUGCCCGCCCCUCCUGUUGUACCUGGCUCUGGCUCCUCUGCAUCCAUGGGGUGGGCAGUGGGCGCCUGGGGAGGGCUGGGCCGGGGUGGGAGGUGGUCCCGCAGCAGGUGCAGUCUCUGCCAGCAGCACUCCUGCCGUAGUUGGGGCCCAGACGGCCUUGUGCUGCACUGCUCCUUUCCUGCUGUGGCUUGGCGUCAGUGAGAUGCUGCAGAGUAGCUGUCCCAGGAGACUGAGGAACAUUUACGUGCCCCCAGCCCAUCUUCCCGGCUCUGUUCAGUGCCCUGGCCCCCGCACUAGGUCCUUGGGGCACAGAGGUGACCAGGACUUAAGAUUUGAGGUGGCUUGUCAAUGACAAAUGCUGACACAAUCAUGGGUGGAUGGGCACAUGGGUCCCAGUGUCCCUUCCCCACCCACCCACUGGCCCCGGGUGGCAUAGCAUUGCACACAGCACGUGCCUGCACGCCAGGGCAGGGAGGGUGCUGCGGAGCCGUCAGGGCUGCACCAAGUGUGGGGGGCACGACUUUUGCAGCCAUCGGUGAUGAGUCUGUUCUUAGGGACGAAUGUCCACCUGACAGGGCACCUUCCUCAGGGCCCUCCAUGCACUGCAUUUUCUUCCAAAUCAUGCCCUUAGAUGCCUAGAUGAUAUCUUUAAAAUAACACAGAAGUUUUUAUUUUAUUAAAAAGUAUAGCCUACUUAAACAUAAGAUGACAUAUAUAAAGAGCUUAGUUUUACAGUCUCGCUGAAGGGAGCGCCUCCAGCCUUACUGUCCACUGUCCGCAUCUGUGCGGUUUUGGGUUCCUGGUGUGUUCCUAAUACAGAGGAUUCCUCGUUUGUUUUUGCUCUUUUUCUUUUUUACCUGUCACACAGGUAUGUUUAAAAGCAGACCCCCUACCUAACGCUGUUUGCAAGUAUGCGUGAAGUAUAGCCACUACCAUCUUCCUCACUGUUACUUUCCAAGUCUCGGAGAGAAAACACCGUCCUCUGAUGGUUGGGGCCCCGGAAUAAAGGAUCCCCACGCACCCAGCCUGAUGCCUGACGUAGCUUUGGUGUGCUCUUUGUGACGUAGCUGGGGGCACCCGCCUUUCCCUCACCAAAACACAGAUGUGCCCAGGAGCCAUGUCCAUGCAUGGUCCUGAGACGGACACCCAGACACUCGCAGAGAGAAGAAGAGGAGGCACCACCCUCUUCUGAUCUGCGAAGCUAGCAGAGUGUCCCACCGCAGAAGGCCGGCUGGUCCCUGCUGAGGGGCAGCUGUGUCUAUUAUCAGGCGUGGAUUAAAGUUUGAUGUGGGUCACAGAAUGUUUGUAAAAUGCGCUGAGGCAGAUGAAACACUGCAAAGGUGUCACUGCUGUUUGUUUCCCAGCCUUCCCUGGGGCUGCAUCCCUUUGUCUGUCCUGGGUGUUCCCGCCUGUGAGUCGAUGUUACUCAGUUUCCUUCCAGCCCCAUAACAUGCCAAGUCCCAGUGCACACCCAGCUUCUCAGCAGCCCAGCUUGGCCAGGAAAGGGGAAUUUUUAGCACCUAAUAUGCUUCCUUCCAUUUAGCAAUCUGAGCCUGAGCAACUGGAAACCCCCAUUUUCUCAUUAGCGCAAUGUCGUGUCAGAUCCCAGGGAAGCCUGGAAAAAUAAAGGAUGAUGUAUUAUCACUUGUGAAAGUA